rnacentral:rRNA from 1 species
GACGAACCGUGCGAACGUUGUUCGGAAUCACUGGGCUUAAAGGGCGCGUAGGCGGACAGUCAAGUCAGGGGUGAAAUCCCACGGCUCAACCGUGGAAGUGCCUUUGAUACUGACAGUCUCGAGGGAGGUAGGGGCGUGCGGGAACUUCCGGUGGAGCGGUGAAAUGCGUAGAGUAUCGGAAGGAACGCCGGUGGCGAAAGCGGCGCGCUGGACCUCUUCUGACGCUGAGGCGCGAAAGCUAGGGGAGCAAACGGG